GCAGACAAAAUUUUCAACUUUAGGAGGCCAUUUCGAAUCGCAAAUGCGACACCAAAGGCCAUUGUACUCCAAGUAUGAAUAUUGGAAUAAAGAGAAAAUGCGAAAGUAUACCCCGUUUUAACCGUGUAAGUUCCUUAAAAGUUCUAUACCAGCGAAUCAGGCAGAUUAUGAGUAGCUAUCGGCACCCUAAGAACUUUGGUCACGUCAUUGAGAGCUAGCAUACCCUCAACAAAAUCACGAUCCCACGACCCCUUAUCCGUUGUCAUAAGCUCACUCACUGGCAUAGUUUCGAACCAGGCAGAGGCUCUAACCUUACGAAAAAAAUUUCAUCAUCAAUGAGCCACGGCGAACGAUAAACACCGUAAUUUAAGCCCAACGGCUAAC
rnacentral:lncRNA from 1 species